CCUGAAUUUUGGAAACUAAUCAAUUCUCUCAAUCAAUUGAAAUCAUUCUCCUCUCAAAGCCUAAAUCAUUCUUUCAACCGUUUCUCUCUGGCUUCACUCUACAUCCUCUUCAAAUCAAACUUGGAUCCAUAGAUUAUUUUCAAUGAAGAAUCUAACUGAUGUUGGUAAUCAUAUUCAAAGUUUCUCUCUGGCUUCACUUCUACAUCCUCUUUUUCUUCCUCAUCUUCUACAUCAUCAAAACCUAACAUCUUCAUCUUCAACUGUAUAAGCAGGUAUGUAGGUUUUCUGUUUUCACACCAAUCAAAAAACCCUAAACCUUUAUCUUUCUUCUUCAAUCGCAAGACAAAGACUUUCCUAAAACCUACUAAUUCACUUCCAGAAUCCGUACUCAAUAUUGAUUUCAUAUUCGUUUUUCAUCAAGAGCAAUGGUUCCAGGCUUUCUGAAGAUUAUUUUGUAUGCUUCUACGUCAUAUCUAUAUCUGCUAUCGCCCCCCUUUUACAAUAACGUGGAUGGUCGACAGUUGUUAGAGAUCUUGGUGUUGAAAACACAUAUUUUGUUCUUUUUAACGUCGUUGUUGAUAACACAUUUGAAAUCAUGCAUUUCAAGGUUGACCAUGAAUCGGAUGUCAAAGAUAAGUUUUGUCAUAUAACGAUGAUUCCAGAAGCAAAAAAUCUGUGGUUGCCAACAAAGUUCAUGGACCAUAGUUUCAAUGAUGAACUUUUACAACAUCAUGUCACGAUUCGUUUCAGGCCUAAUCAACACUGCAUUGUUUCGGGCCUAAAACAAUCAAGUAUGGCCUAAAACAAAAGUUUCAAACGGAAUACCGAAGCGAAUAUCUAACCGCCUAUUGAUCGCCGGAUCUUCCACUAUAGGGUUUCAGGGAUUUUGAGUGAAGGAGUUGAUUUCGCAGCGUUUACGAUUUCAAACUAACCAGGUCAAAGGUCAAAGUCUGGUGCUGCCUUUUACCAUCAACCAUGUACCACACAAGUAUUGCUUAUUAUUUGUUCAUGUACCAGUUCAUUCUAGAAUGUCAAUGAUCAACAUUUUCCUGGAAGACAAGGCUUUUGAAGUUAAAAGAGAUCCUACACUGAAUCUUCUCACCAACAGCAAGAACAGGAGUAACCUGAGCUCCAAUCAGAAUCCAAGGACUUAUCUUUUAGCUUUCAAAGUUGUUAUCAGCUGGCGUUAGUUGCUGUUACUCUAUUCAGUUCCUAUAUGAAGUUUUUCGGCUCAUGACAAGAUGCAAGGGUUAGCUUUGUGUGUUUCACAGUGUGACAAAUUUUGUGGUCUUGCUUCUUCAAUUCGGUUGCUUGCGUUGGCAUAUGUAUAUAAUAAACACAAUGCAUGGGAGCAGUUCUAUGUUUACUGGAAAUGUGGUGUUGAAGAUAAUGACUAUAUGGUAUUUAAAGUUGUUGAUGUUAAAACUUUUGAGGUUACUCAUUUUAAACUUGACCGUGAAGCCGAGGUGAAAAACAAGUUUUACCAUAUCCUCAUACAUCCAAAAUUAAAAAGAUAUGGUAACAUUUUAACUAUUUUAUUAUGUUUUGUGUCAACUUUCUUUUUCAUGGUUUAUAAACUUUUAAUAACUAAUUCGUCGUCAUGAUAUGUUAUGCUUUAUCUUGGAAAUGUUAUCUAGGGAAGCGCAAAUGAUACCGAGUACCGAUUCGGAACCGGUACCGAAUUUACCAAACCGACUAGAUUUUCAGUACCGAUUCGGUACCGAAAUUUGUGGUUUUGGUACCGGUACCCAUUUUUUGAGAUUUUCAAUACCGCUAUUUUCGGUACCGGUUGGUACCGAGCUCAUCCCUGCCAUCCACUAUACUUAAGUGGUUGAACGAUUGCCUUUUUCACUGUUUUAGGGUAAUUGCUAUAAAUGGCUUUUUUUUUUCUCAAGUUCCUUUUUUUCUAAACACAAGGUUUUGGUUUUCUUUGUCUUCACUACCACCCCCCACAACAACACCAGCAAUUACCUUUCCUCUUACAACACCAACUCUGUCAAGGCAAACCCAGCUAAAGGCCAAGGUGAAUUUUCGUUUUAUAGGAUAACAUAAAUUGAAUAGCACUAAAAUUACAGUAGUAAAAAAAACAGUUAUAUAUGAAUGGGUCAAUUUUGAUAAUCUGUUAUCAAUUGCCAAACUUGAUUUAUAAGCAAUUUUUACCUUCUAAGCAAUUGCCUAACGUUAUUUAGACUUAAAACUUUAGUCUUAUGCAGAUUUGGGGGUUGCCAAUGCCAAAUGACUAUCACUUCUAGCGUUUAUUUAUUUCUAACGUAUUCAGGCGAGACGUCUGGUAUGACUGUUACAUUUGUUAUGAUUGAUCAUAGGCUUGAAGAUAAUGUUGAAGAAAGGGAAUAUGCAACUACAAGUGGUGGUCAAGUAUGGUGCUCUUAAUAUCUCUAGAGGAAAUUAGGUUGGUCCACUUUGUUGUUGGUCUGACGGAUUGUGCCUCUCAAUGUAACGGGCUAGCUUAUUUGGUUACCCUAAGGACUCAGAACUUUAAUAGAGAUAAGGAAAUGAUGGAAAAGGAGGUGGGAGAGCAUGUUAAAAUGAUUACAACUAAGCAUAAACGAACCAAGUGGAGGCUAAUGAUCAGGAGUAAAAUCCCAAAGAACAGGAUGCCUCAAAUGUACAAUGGUGAAUUUUCUGCAACAACCUUUGUUUUGAAAUUCUUACAUCGAUCGCCAACAUUCGGAGUGCAUUUUU